GAUGCCACGCCCAUCACUCGCCCCUCUGGAUUCCCUCCGGCUGCGUGGAAAUCCCGGAGCACUGGAUUUCCCAGAGGCGCCUCCGGUAGCAGUGCGCAUGCUCCAGGGCCGGUAGCUGAGGCAUCAAUUUCCCGCGGCGCCUAGGGGACGGAUUGGAAAGCGAUUGGCUUAGGGGACGGAAACCAAGCUCCACCUGCCUGACGCCCGGCUCUUCUCGCAGAACCGAAGGCUGAAAAAAAGAGGGGAGAGACCGGAAGUGACGCACGAGCGCGAGCGGAAAAACAGGGGCCCAGCGCCUGUUGCCGUGGAAACCGAGCCCUCGGCUUGCGUCCCGGAUGCGUCACAGCUCCGGCUGACCACGCCCCGCGAAAAGCCGCGCGCUUGUGACGAUGUCGCUGCGGGGCACGCUAAGGGGCGGAGAGGAAAUUUAGGGCCUGCCUUUUGUACAUUCGGUUAUUUAGCCCAGAAAUAUGUAUUCAACCCCAGGCGCGUGCCUGGCAUUGUGGAAGGCGACACGUGAGGAGAAUUGUGACUGGCCCAGAUGCCACCCCCCCCAGCCCAGUAGUCAUUCUUCUCUGGAAGUCCUUACCCAUCUCACCUGCUCAUUCUUCAACCCCCAGUUUCCCGACCUUUUUCCUCAAGCCACGCCCUUCCACGCUUUCUUGUCUUUUCUGUGGUGUUCCUUCAGUCUAGAAUAUUCUCCACCUAGUACAAUCCUGCUCCUCCCCUGACAUUCUGCUGAAAUUGCACUCUUCAGCCUUCCCAGUACCAGGAUGAGACAACUCUACUCAGACCCAAGCACACCAAGCCAGGAAUGCACAAAGGACGGCUGAUGUUUGAGAUAAGAACUGUCUCAAGGACUUUCUAUAAUAACCACACAAGAAAUUCCUCAUGUACGUCACAAGUCUCAUGCGUUUCUCCACCUACGUUUUGCACAUAUGCACACAUUUAUUGAUUUAGAGACAGGGAUCUUGCUGUGCUGCCCAGACCGGACUCAAAUUCCUGGGCUCAAUCGGUCCUCCUGCCUCAGCCUCUAGAGUAGCUGGGACUCCAGGCAUGUGCCACCCUGUUAUUUCUGUGACCAGGCUUAGCACUAGGCAUUCUUUAGGACGACAGCAAUUCAAAUAAGAUGCUCUCCAAAGAACACUUGCCUAGUAGCGGCAUCUCCAAAAAUAAAUUGAUGCCGCUCCAGCUUUGAGCCUCCAGAACCAAAGAAACCUGUUUCCAGACAGCUUAUGUGAACUUCUACUUUUGGCCAAUAAGAGCUCCCACUUACCCCUGCCCUAUUCAGGUGCACCUGUGGCUUGCCAUAGCCAUAUAGCCAGGUGCACCAUCCUUUUUGCCUGCU
rnacentral:lncRNA from 1 species